UUUCAUGUCGAUGAUGAUGAAUGUCUAAUCCCAGCUCUAUGAGACCUUUUUUGUGAAGGUCUGGGAAUUGAAAUCUUAAUCAAACAUUUAUCUGAGCCUAAAU
rnacentral:snoRNA from 1 species